UACGUAGGGUGCAGGCGUUAAUCGGAAUUACUGGGCGUAAAGCGUGCGCAGGCGGUUUCUUAAGUCAGAUGUGAAAGCCCCGGGCUUAACCUGGGAACUGCGUUUGAAACUGGGAGACUAGAGUGUGGCAGAGGGGGGUGGAAUUCCACGUGUAGCAGUGAAAUGCGUAGAUAUGCGGAGGAACACCAGUGGCGAAGGCGGCUCACUGGCCCGGAACUGACGCUGAGACGCGAAAGCGUGGGGAGCAAACAGG
rnacentral:rRNA from 1 species